rnacentral:ribozyme from 13 species
ACAAAAGAAAGAGAAGAAAAAAAGUCAAUCUCUGUUGGUCAAACCAUUCGAUCUCCCACAUCCUCUUCCUCUUCUUGCUCCUCCUCCUCCUCUUCUUCUUUUUCUUCUUCUUAUAUU